AUUGAACGCUGGCGGCAGGCCUAACACAUGCAAGUCGAACGAGCGGCGGACGGGUGAGUAAUGUCUGGGAAACUGCCCGAUGGAGGGGGAUAACUACUGGAAACGGUAUCUAAUACCGCAUACCAUCGGAUGUGCCCAGAUGGGAUGAGCUUGUAGGUGAGGUAACGGCUCACCUAGGCGACGAUCCCUAGCUGGUCUGAGAGAAUGAACAGCCACACUGGAACGGAGACACGGUCCAGAAUCCUACGGGAGGGAGCAGUGGGGAAUAUUGAACAAUGGGCGCAAGCCGGAGGCAGGCAUGCCGCGUGUAUGAAGAAGGCCGUAGGGUUGUAAAGUACUUUCAGCGGGGAGGCGUUACCCGCAGAAGAAGCACCGGCUAACUCCGUGCCAGCAGCCGCGGUAAUUC
rnacentral:rRNA from 1 species